GUUGUGGGGACAGCAGGUGUGCGUGUGUGCCUGUGUUUGUGGGAGACAGUGGCCCUGUUUGACCAGUGGACACCCCCACAGAAGACGUAAACAUAAGACCUGAAGCUGUAAAACUCCUAGAGGGAAACAGGGGAAAUGCUGUUUGACAUGGGUCUUGGCAAUGAUUUUUUGGAUAUGAAGCCAAAAGCACAGGCGAAAAAGCAAAAAUAGACAAGUGGGACUACACCAAACUCAAAAGCUUCUGCACAGCAAAGGAAACAACAAAAUGAAAAGGCAGCCUACGGAAUGGGAGGGAAUAUUUGCAAACCCUCUCUCUGAUAAGGGGUUAACAUCCAAGAUAUAUAAGGAACUGCUGUCACUCAAUAGCAGAAAACCAAAUCAGCCAAUUAAAAAGUGGGCAAUGGAUUUGAAUCGACAUUUAUCCAAAGAAGACAAAUAAUCAGCCGGUAUAUAAAAAGGCACCCGACAUCACUUAUCACCAGGACAUGCAAAUCAAAGCCACAGUGAGACCGACUUGCACCUGUUAGGAUGGCUGGCAUCAAAAAGACAAGAUGGCAAGUGUUGGCCGGGGUGUGGAGAAAGGGAGCCCUUGUACCCUGUUGGUGGGAAUGUAAAAUGGUGCAACCAGUAUAGGAAACAGCAUGGAGGUUCCUCGGAAAACUAAAGAUAGAUCUGCCAUCUGAUCCAGCAAUCCCUCUACUGGGUUACAGCCAAAGGAAAUGGCACCAGGAUCUUGAAGAUAGAGCUGUACUCCCAUGAUCGCUGUGGCUUUGUUGAGGAUAGCCAAGAUACGGAAACGCCCGAAGUGUCUGUGGUCAGAUGAAUGAAGAAAGAAAAUGUGGUAUAGACACAUGAUGGAAUAUUAACCUUUAAAAAGAAGGAAACCUGCCAUAUAUGACAACGUGAAUAAACCUGGAGGAUUUUAUGCCAAGUGCAAUAAAGCCAGACCCAGAAAGGCCAAUGCUGCUUGAUUCUGCUUCUACAUGGAAUCUAAAAUAGUCAAAGUCAGAAGCAGAGAGUAAAAUAGUGGUUCCCAGGGCGGGUCGGGGGAAAGGGGAAAGGAGGCAUUGCUGCUGAAUGGGGAUGAAGUUUCAGUGAGGAUGAGUUGCAG
rnacentral:lncRNA from 1 species